UACGUAGGGUGCAAGCGUUAUUCGGAUUCACUGGGCGUAAAGGGUGCGCAGGCGGUCAGGUGUGUCAGAUGUGAAAUCCCGAGGCUCAACCUCGGAACUGCGUCUGAAACUACUCGACUAGAGUACUGGAGAGGGAAACGGAAUUCACGGUGUAGCAGUGAAAUGCGUAGAUAUCGUGAGGAACACCAGAGGCGAAGGCGGUUUCCUGGACAGUUACUGACGCUCAGGCACGAAAGCAUGGGGAGCAAAAGGG
rnacentral:rRNA from 1 species